rnacentral:rRNA from 1 species
AUUGAACGCUGGCGGCAGGCCUAACACAUGCAAGUCGAGCGGAUGAAGGGAGCUUGCUCCUGGAUUCAGCGGCGGACGGGUGAGUAAUGCCUAGGAAUCUGCCUGGUAGUGGGGGAUAACGUCCGGAAACGGGCGCUAAUACCGCAUACGUCCUGAGGGAGAAGGGGGGGGAUCUUCGGACCUCACGCUAUCAGAUGAGCCUAGGUCGGAUUAGCUAGUUGGUGGGGUAAAGGCCUACCAAGGCGACGAUCCGUAACUGGUCUGAGAGGAUGAUCAGUCACACUGGAACUGAGACACGGUCCAGACUCCUACGGGAGGCAGCAGUGGGGAAUAUUGGACAAUGGGCGAAAGCCUGAUCCAGCCAUGCCGCGUGUGUGAAGAAGGUCUUCGGAUUGUAAAGCACUUUAAGUUGGGAGGAAGGGCAGUAAGUUAAUACCUUGCUGUUUUGACGUUACCAACAGAAUAAGCACCGGCUAACUUCGUG